AGAUAGCUCAGUAACACGUGGCCAAACUACCCUAUGGAUCAGGACGACUUCGGGAAACUGAGGCUAAUCCUGAAUAGAGCUCGAAUCUUGGAAGAGAUCGAGCUCGAAACGUUCCGGCGCCAUAGGAUGUGGCUGCGGCCGAUUAGGUAGACGGUGGGGUAACGGCCCACCGUGCCAGUAAUCGGUACGGGUUGUGAGAGCAAGAGCCCGGAGACGGAAUCUGAGACAAGAUUCCGGGCCCUACGGGGCGCAGCAGGCGCGAAACCUUUACACUGCACGACAGUGCGAUAAGGGGACUCCGAGUGCGAGGGCAUAUAGCCCUCGCUUUUCUGAACCGUAAGGUGGUUCAGGAAUAAGGGCUGGGCAAGACCGGUGCCAGCCGCCGCGGUAAUACCGGCAGCCCAAGUGAUGGCCGCUAUUAUUGGGCCUAAAGCGUCCGUAGCCGGCUGGAUAAGUCUGUCGGGAAAUCCACGUGCUUAACGCGUGGGCGUCCGGCGGAAACUGUUCAGCUUGGAGCCGGGAGACCUGAGGGGUACGUCCGGGGUAGGAGUGAAAUCCUGUAAUCUCGGACGGACCGCCUGUGGCGAAAGCGCCUCAGGAGAACGGACUCGACGGUGAGGGACGAAAGCUAGGGUCACGAACCGGAUUAGAUACCCGGGUAGUCCUAGCUGUAAACGAUGCUCGCUAGGUGUGGCGCAGGCUACGAGCCUGCGCUGUGCCGCAGGGAAGCCGCGAAGCGAGCCGCCUGGGAAGUACGUCUGCAAGGAUGU
rnacentral:rRNA from 1 species